GACGAACGCUGGCGGCGUGCUUAACACAUGCAAGUCGAACGGAAAGGCCCUGCUUUUGUGGGGUGCUCGAGUGGCGAACGGGUGAGUAACACGUGAGUAACCUGCCCUUGACUUUGGGAUAACUUCAGGAAACUGGGGCUAAUACCGGAUAGGAGCUCCUGCUGCAUGGUGGGGGUUGGAAAGUUUCGGCGGUUGGGGAUGGACUCGCGGCUUAUCAGCUUGUUGGUGGGGUAGUGGCUUACCAAGGCUUUGACGGGUAGCCGGCCUGAGAGGGUGACCGGCCACAGUGGGACUGAGAUACGGCCCAGAGUCCUACGGGAGGCAGCAGUGUGGAAGAUUGCACAAUGGGCGGAAGCCUGAUGCAGCAACGCCGCGUGCUGGAUGACGGCCUUCGGGUUGUAAACCGCUUUCGCCUGUGACGAAGCGUGAGUGACGGUAAUGUGUAAAGAAGCACCGGCUAACUACGUG
rnacentral:rRNA from 1 species